UUUUUUUUUUUUUUUUUGGGAAAACUUUUUAUACUAGGCAUUGCCGUGGUAAUUUGUAAUCCACAGGACGUGGUGUUAGAUCCCAAUCUACCACAGGCACAAUCUUUCGUUAAAUUAUAUUUGACAACGGGUAUAUCCAUAAUAGAAAUUAAGACUUUUUAUCACGCUAUAAUACUAACUGACAAAGUACCCAUACUGAAUUGCAAUCUAUCAUAGGCAUCCACAUGAUAGAUAAACUUUUUUUUUUCCUUCUAAUACUCAUUACCAUAACCCACAAGAAACCGAAAGUUUUCCAAACACUAGCGCACUAAAAAUAUCAAGGGUCAAUGCCAACGAUACAUCAUUCCAUAACUUUCUUUACAAAGGGUUAUACUAAAAAGUCAAUCAUGGUACUAUUCACUUUACCUUUUAUUUUGUCCUUAUCGUUAAAACUCAAAGUUUUAAAACUUUUUUCAUUAGUUUUCCUUUUUUUUUUAAACAUUUUUAGGUCAUGUAUAGUAUUUAUUAGGAAAUUUUAACGAAAAACUCCCGGUACUAUUCAUUUUAACGAAAAACCAUAUUUUUAUACUAAAAAGUCAAUCAUGGUACUAUUCAUGUUCCCUUUAUUUUGUCUUUAUCGUUAAAACUCAAAGUUUUCAAGCCAUUUUCAUUAGUUUUCCUUAUUUAUUAUUCUUAAAAUCAAAUUUUCUUUUUUUUAAACAAUAAUUAUUAAUGUAAUUUAGUUGUAUCUGACCUUUUCAUGGCAAAGUGUGUACAGACUAGAGAACCCACAUCCAUAUAACAUGCUUCCCACAAACAAAUAUAUUAAAUUUGGACAGACAACGUGCCCAAUUCUUAUGUAUUAGGUGGUUUGCAGAAGAAAAUAUCGAGUUAGAAUAAUAUACCAUCUUUUGUUUGUUGUUGUUUUAGGUCAAGUGGGAUUUAAUUAAGGAAAUUUUAACAAAAAGUUUCUGGUACUGUUCAUUUUAACGAAAAAUUACAUUUUUAUACUAAAAAGUCAAUUAUAGUACUAUUCACUUUACCUUUUAUUUUAUCCUUAUCGUUAAAACUCAAAAUUUUUAAAUAUUUUUCAUUAGUUUUCUUUUUAAUUAAUCAAUCGAUUAGACCUAUAACAUGGGCCCAAAAGAAUUAGAAAAAGACUGACUUAGUACACCAGGUGGAAACAAAAACCGUAAACAACAAAGAGCACCUUACAUGCAAAAUGUAGCAAUUUUUUUAAUAUUGAUAAAGGAGAACAUAUUUUAAUAUACCAGCCACUAUUAUUAUGGUUUAAUUGUUUUUCUCUUUGUUUUUAGUAAAAAAAUCUUAAAUUCGAGUUCUUUAUAUGGUGAGUUCGAUAACACAAAAUAUUAUGACAGAUCAUUAUAUAGCUUAGCCAAAUCCCGCACUCCAUAAUGUCAAAAUAUUGUUGUAUUAAGAGAAAAAAAACUACCACUUAUAAUUUGACAAAUAAGGUCUGAGUAAAUUGUAGCAAUGGUCCCUUAAUUUUAACCAAAUUGGAGCAAUGGUCUCUCAACUAAAAAUUCAUUACCAUUGGUCUCUCAACUCAUCAAAACGUGCAGCUAUGAUAAUUUUCGUCAACUCCAUUAAACUUCCAUCAAAAUGAGUCACGUGCCAUGCACGUGCAGCUAAAUCAAGAGGCAAAUAUGAGAAAUAAAAAAAAUUGUAUCAAUGGUCCCUCAAUUUUAAUCAACUGGAGAAAUGGGCCCUCAAUUUUAACCAAAUUGGAGCAAUGAUCCCUCAAUUUUAACCCAAUUGUAGUAAUGGUCUUUCCAACAUAACUCAUUUUGACAAUAUUCUGACAGAGUUGAAGAAAAUGACCAUAGCUACAUGUUUUGAUGAGUUGAGGGACCAAUGAUAAUGAAUUUUUAGUUAAGAGACCAUUGCUCCAAUUUUAUUAAAGUUGAGAAACCAUUGCUACAAUUUACUCAUAAGGUCUACAACCAUCCAAACAAAUAUGAAAUUAUCAAUCAAUAUACAUCACUUACCAGCAGUAGUGGAGCCAACUUGGAAUUGAUGGCUACUCAUGACCUUAAUAGCUUCCUAAACUCACAUAUUUGUUGAUAAAUCUAUCGUCCCCAACUAAAGAGAAAGUGUACAACGUUGAACUACAACCUAUUAUUACUUCUUCCUUCUCCAACUUUCUUUUUUCAUUCCCAUGCCUUCCUUUUCUUUUUUUUCUUGUGUGCAAUCCAAUGGUGCGCACCACAGACGUAAUGCUUCACUCAAAAAGUCUUGGCAGACAAGUCUUGACAGUCUGCUAGCUUGGGCGUAUCUUGAUGGAUGUAGAUGCUAGAAAAAAAAACAACAGCUAACGAUAGAUGUCAUCACAAGUUUUCGACAAAUGUUAGUAAAUUUUGAUAGGUGCCCACCAGAAGCUCGACGGAAUGGUGCAAUGAAUUUUUUUAGUCGAAAUCAUGACUUAUCGUAAAAUUAUGGCUUCACCACUGCUUACCAGCUUAUUAAUUGAAUUCUCUUGUAAAGAAGCCUAGUUAGUAAGGAUGGUGUAUUCAAUUGAGAAUUUGAGAGAUUUUAAUGGAUUUAUAAAUCCAUGGAUUUUUAUGGAAUUUAAUUGAUUUGUAGAGAUUCUAUAUAAAAUUUUGAUUCAAUUCCCUCGAAAUCUCAUAGGGAGAGGUGAGAUUUGUGGAUGCUUAAAAUACACUAUGAAAUCUCUCAAAUUCUUUCUAAUUCCUCAACUUUCUCAAAUUCUUUAAAAUCAAUUUCUAAUUGAACAUACUUGGAAUGUUAUAAACUUCUUUAAAAUCAUAGUUGAAUACAUCCGGAUUUCUAAGGAUUUUAAUAAACUAUCUUAAAAUUCCAAUUGAAUACAUCUUGAAUUUCAGAGAAUCACUUAAAAUCUUGAUUGAAUACCCCUAGAUUCAUUAAAAGAAUUAAAAUCCCUCAAAAUCCCAAUUGAAUACACCCCCCCUAAAUUUACGUAGUUAUUAAUACAUGUAUUAUACACUUACGCACAUAUAUUUUGUUAAAAAUACUCUUAUUUUUUGUGUACAUCUCAAUGCUUCGUUAAAUUAUACAACGUAUAAUAUAGUUUAUACAUGUAUGUACAUACAUUUUGAAAUUUUAAUUAUGGCCAAAAUACUUUGGGAAAUUUGGAAAACUAACCAAAUUUUGGACCCUAAAUAGAAUUCUAGCCACCUUUUUAAAUUAUGAUAAUUAUAACCAAAAGUUGAUAUGAAAGUAUUAAUACACCUUUCAAAUAUAGUUUUCUCAAAAAAACAAAAAAAAAAUGUCAUCCAUGGAAAUUAAACAAAGCAAGAUUCAAUUAAGAUAAGGAGAUUCGAAAUAAAAUUGAAUAAGUUCAAAGUCACCCGUGCUCCUUGAAGUUCCUUAAACAACCCAAAACCCCAAUUCAAUCAUAGAAGAAAACAAAAUCCAAAGUUCAACCUUCGGAGAAAAUGAGAGAAAAAGAGAAGGGACCAUCGCAUUUUGGGCUUUUCACCAACGAUUUGGUUUUGGAGCUGAUCUUAGAAGUGGAGGUCCCAAUUGAGGGGCUAAGAUGUUGAGGAUGGGCAGCAAACACUGAAGUGAGCGAAGGCCUCGUUGUAAGCCUGGAGGUGCAAGUGCUCGAACUCAAGGAUUAUAUCGUCGUAGUUGAAAAUCAGAAAUUAGAGAGCAGAAGAGGAAGCUGACUGAGACUGAGAGUGAGAGUCAUCUUCAUGUGGAGGAGGUUGAAAUUUUUUUGGGGGUUCAGAACUAAACGAACUUUGUGUGUGAAAGUAGAAAAGAGGAAGAGGAGGAGGAAGAGAGAGGGAUUGUGCUGCACGCCAUGGCUGGCUAUGCUUGGGUUGGGUUUAUGUGGUUUUGGAUUAUCGUCUAGAAAGGAUAGAGAUGACGGUAAAAGACAACCGAGCCUUUUGUUUUUUGGUUUUUUUUUUUAUAGAAAACUUUAUUUUAAGGUGUAUUAGUAUUUUCAUAUCAACUUUUGGUUAUAAUUAUUAAAAAUUUAAAAUGAUGGUUAGAAUUCUAUUUGGGAUCCGAAAUUUGGUUAUUUUUCCAAAUUUCCCCAAAUACUUUUUAGCAAAGUUGCCAUAUAGUAUAUAUACUAUGUAAGUAGACAUAACUUUUUGGAAGACACAUGAUGCCGAUUUUAUGUUUGGUGCUUUUCGAUCACAUAAUUCUGGCACAUUUCUCCUCCAUGGCAAAUCAAUCUUCCAUGCGUUCCUGCAUAUACGAUGAAUUGGAAAUGUUGUCGUAGCUGCUAUUAAAAUCAACUUUUCUAAUAAUAUAAUGAAGCAACUUGAAAGGGGGAACAUAUAACUCUGCAUAUAUAUAUAUAUAUAUAUAUAUAUAUAUAUAUAUAUAUGAAGUCGAGUGAGAUCUACAUAAAGGAGUCUCAUAUUUUUAUGAGAGAUGUAGUAUGAAAAACGCAGUCAUGUCCUACGAUUGUUUCUCUUAAAUUUGGUUGAAACCCAUGAACCAUGCAUGGCUGAGAUUUACUUGUUUUCUUGAUGGCACGUACCCAAUAUCCAACCAUCACCAAAGCCGUGAUUACUCAUGAAUUCUAUUUCUAGCCUGAAAAAAGAUAAGGUUUAUAACCCACCAUACUAAAUUCAAACAGCUACCAUAUCAUCAUAAAAUUGAAAACAUACAACUAAAUGAUCUACAUUUUUUCUAUUCCAUUAGAGAAAAUCAAACUCAGACGACGAGAUGGAUCGCUAUAAAAAAACAAUCUACAUUAAUAUAAAAGUAGAUAAAUUAUAGGGAAAAUUAGGUUCACAUCCUUCUUUUUAUUACUCCAUUGAUUAAAAUCCUAUUCAUUUUCAAUUUUCGAUCAAGGUCCUUGGGUAUUAAUAACAUCAUUAAUUAUUUGAAUAAUAAAAUAUUUUUAUUUUUAAAUAUAUUCCUUUAAUGUUAAAAAUGUUACAAUUAGUAUAUUUAUAUUUAUGGCUAAAUUUUUUAUCACAUAUUUUUAUUUUUAUUUUUUACUUAUUUUUAAUUUGCAAAUAUUUUUUAAUUUGUACCAAUUUUCUUUUCAUUUUUAAUUUGUACCCAUAUAUUAGUUUCUUUUUGUGCCCAUAUUUUUUAAAAUUUUAUUUGUGUUUGUACCCAUGUGUAUACCGUCACGUGACAUUGUAUAUUUAAUCAAUGAUAGAAAUAUUACAUAUGGUAUAUUUAUGUUUUAUGCCUAAACUUUGUAUCAUAUAUUUAUAUUUUUAGUUUGUACCCAUUUUUAAUUUGCACCAUUUUUUUUAGUUUUAUUUUGUACGCAUGUAUUAAUUUCUUUUAGCGCCUAUAUUUUUAAAAAUUCAUUUGUAUUCAUAAUUUUUAAUCUUUUAUUUGUACCCUAAUUUAUUUCUAAUGUACCCAUUCUUCUUUAUUAAAUUACCACUUUGUUAUAUGUGAAAUGUACCAAUUUUUUUAACACUAUGGAUACAUUCUUUUGCCAUUUAUUAUUUCUUAUUUUACAUAGUUUUUAUCCAUUAUUCAAUCAAAAUGUUUGAAUUUUUUUAUUGUAACCGUUUCUAAUAGUAUUAUAAUGAGAGAUUUUAAAUUUAUAGGAUUAUAAAUCUCAUAAAAUAUCAAACAAUUAAUGUCAAAACUAUAAAAUUAUAAAUAUUAAUAGUAAUAUAAUGAGGUGUACAAAGUUAAGGGACCUUGAUCAAACUUUGAAUACUAUUAAGGUUUUAAUCAAAGAAUGUUAAGGAUUAGGGACCGUAUCCAAAAUAUCCCAAAAUUAUAAUAAUCAAGCCAUUAGCUUGCAACAAUUGCUGCGACAUUACAUCACACAAUUCACGCCAAUUCAACAAACACACAAAACACAGUUCAUCGAGAGAUACUCUAUUAAACAGGGUGUUCACUUUUUGACCCGUGACAAACUUGUAUUUGUCGUGUUACGCUACUAAGAUGAUAUCUUUUGAUUGGAAGAGAGAACUUCUCUUCUUCAUUCUCACUUACAACACAUAUGCCUACCAAUCACUACUCAUUUCAUAAAUAUAUACACAAUUUAUAACAAUACCAUUACAACACACAUGAAUCAAUAAACAAAUACAAACCAACUGGAAUUUUGAAGUAUAACUUGAAAACAAAACCAAAAGUAUGAAUCUGCUGGACUAACCCAUGUUUCACCUGCAGCUCCAACUUGUUACUUCUGAGUGUCUCUCAGGUGGUGUAGUAGAAUACCGGGUGGAGCAUGAGGUGAAUGAGCAUGAUGCAGGCACACGACAAGGACAGGAACAGCAGCCCGUAAACGACUCUGAAACCCAUAUAAGUAUAUAUUGUGAGUUUAUAACGACCCUACUAUUGGUUUCUCAGUCUCUAUCAGAUCAGAGAUCCAAAGAAGACACAUCUUUAUAGAGAGAGAGAGAGAGAGAGAGAGAGAGAGAGAGAGGUGGAGCGGUGGAGGGAUUGGAAUUUGGAUUUAAAGUGGAUAAGGGUUUUUAUUUUGAGAAGAUUUGAAUGUUUGAAUUAUGUUUUCAUCCCAUACUGUACGUACGUGUCGUGAAAGGCAACUUCGACUUUGACACGUGGGAAGUUGGAUUGAGGGAGUGAGUGCGUGUGGGGGCAUGGUUUAGUGCACUUGUAUGCUUGCACAUGUAAGCUUAAAUAUACGACCAUACACCCACUGCAUGCAUAGCUACCAUGUGCAUUUAUUUGUAUAACUUGGUUUAGGGUUUACAGUCUUUUACAUGGACUCCCUCUGGUGAGGGAUUUGACGUUCUAAUUAUUCAUCUCUUAGAUUUUCUCUAAAAGAUUAUGCUUCCAGAAAUUACUCUAAUUCAAACCUAUUUGUCGUUAGAUUAAACGAUAGCCAUAUUUUUCUUUAAAAAAUCGUAUUUGUUUGUUUUUUUUUCCUGUUAUAAUUAGAUGUCUUAAUAAUUUUAAAUUUGUCUAAUCUUUUGUAAGAUUUAAAGAAAAAAUUACUCUUCAAUUUAAAGAAAAAAUUACUCUUCAAUUAAUUAGUAUGUUAAAUCUAGAGAAGUGGAGCUACAAAGAACUAACAUGUUAUAUAACUCAUUAACUUCUACGAAUCGGCACAAAAAUGAAUCAACGAAGUAGCAUGACUUGAAAGUAGGUAUAAUUUUUGAAACUUUUGAUUACCUUCAUGUCCUGCUCUACUGACUGAUAGGGAUUUUACCACCUACAAAAGUAGGGAUAAAAUCACACAAAAUACUUGCAUGAGAACAAGGGUGUUGUAGUAUAAAUGGCUAAGUAAGGUCGUUUCCGCAGGGAUUAUUUAAAACAAUUUAUGAGAAACCCUAAUCCUAGUUAACUAUUUAAAAACAAAGAUUGGAAAAUGGCAAUUUAAUAACCUAAAUUAAGAGAAACGAAAUUAAUUAAAAAGGCUAAUUAAAAUCUGCAAUUUUUAGAGAAAGAUAAAGCAAACAAUUUUUUUAGAUUUCGAAAUGAGAAAAUACUAGGGUUCCACCAUCACCCUAACAAUUCUACAUAGUUCUUCUAAUUCCUUAUGAAUUAGACAUGGAUAUUUUGAAGGUUAGGUUUUCCUAAAGUAUGCCCUACUUGGAACCCCCAACAUAGAACGUAUAUCUAACCAUGCAACCCGUCCGUGGUGUCCAGAUCGAAUGUAAAUAUGCAAGACUCAUUAAGUUUUGUGAAAAACUUUUGAAAAACCAUGUAACUCCUAAGACGUGUCAUCCAUCCUAAGUAGCUACACAUGUUAACCACAAGAAGCCUUAGUCAAUUUUAGGGACAGCCCUUCGCCAAAAUUGCAUCAAAUUACUAUUCUAAUUAUCUUAAUGGUCGCAAAUCACUAAGAAAAAUAGAUAGUUUAAAGCACAGUGAUUAACAAUCCAAAACUUGCAUGCAUAAAUUCAAAAGAAAAUUAAAAAGAGACUACAUAUUCUUGCUUAGGAUCAUGGCUUCACCCUAGCAAAAAGGGUUAGUUACGCAUAUUCAUAAUUAAAAUCAACAUAAUUAUUAAACUAGAAAAAGAAUGAAAACACCUUGUAGAAUAAAUUCUGAAAAUCUCUAAAGCUCUAGCCAAAAUCUUCUUCUCAAAUCUUGCGUACGUUCCCCCGGACCUAGGUCUGCCAAAGGGCUUAUUUAUACUACUCUCAAUAAAAUCCUCCUAAUAAAAGGUCUUAGAAUAAGAAUAGGAAACUAAAUAAAUUGAAAUAAAAUAGGAAACAUAAUCCUAAAUUAACUUGGUAAAUUCGCCAAGAAAU
rnacentral:lncRNA from 1 species